UCAGCCGCACAAGGAAAGGUUGCACAUGCGAAUGGUGCAUAAAUGGCUGUUUGUAAUUCAAUCUUCUAGACUCAUUUUGUUCUUCUUUUUUGUCCUUCAUAAACUAAUUAUCACAAAUUAAUCUCUCUGACCCCACACCUUCACUAAGAUCGUGGAACCAUCUAAUUCCGAAGAGGUAAGUGAAAGUACUUCCAACUUUUUUUUUCUCAAUUUUCCUUUCAUUUCCUUCUAUAAUUAACACGAGACUUAUAAAAAAAUCCUAAUUUUCUCUUAAUUUAUGUAAAUCAUCUAUAACAUUUGUCUUUGAACUUUUAAUUUCUUGCAGUUUCAUAAUUCUUUCUCAAAUGAAAGUAUUUUCCUCAUAAUUUCUCUAUUUUCACUCGUUAAAUUUAAUGCAGUCCCAAAUUUUAGGUUUUGGUGUAUUAUUAUGAAAUUUUGUUUCAUGUUCUGUGGAUUUGUGCAUUUUCCUUGGGUAUUUUCUCAAAUAUUUGAUUAACACACUUUCAAUUUUAGUUAAAGCUUAACCUUGAAGACAAUCAAACACAGAAGUUGAUUAAGAUAUGAAAAGGAGUUGCUUGAAGAAAGUUAAAGUUACUGGACAUGGUUAAGUUUCUUUUGUAACUAAUUCUUGCUAUAGGGUAAGUAUAUCAAUAUAAUUGUUCUCUCUCUCUCUCUCUCUCUUUUGCUUUAUGUCAAUUUAUGUUGGAUUAAAUUAAGUUUCAUGUGUUUUGUUGACAGACCUAAAAGGUUCUGGUUAUCUUGUUAGAAGCAAGAAAUUUAGUUACUUCUUUGCCACUUUAGUCGAUUUUUUUAGCAAUUUUAUUCGUAUUUUUAAUAAAACCUCAAUGUGGCCAGUUUCAAAGUGAAGAUCCUUUAAGGUUAGCAAUUGUAUUUUGUUUUUACUCUGUAAUGCUCCUAGUUUGUUUUGAACACAAUCAAACAAUUUGUAUUAAUGCAAGCAUUCCAAUUAACUACAAGGAAGUUAAAUGCAACUACCAUGAGGUUAUUAUUUAUGUUCUAUGACUGAGAGCUUGAUUUCCUUAUUUGCUUAUUUUAUUUGUAUUAAGAUGGCAUAUGGCAUAGUCUACGAAUUAUAAGUUCAAUUUUGGUUUUGAUUUUGUGCUUUUAGCACAUCUUGAUUGCUGCCUUGAGAAGAUUAUUGAAUUGAUUACACUAGUUUGUUGAACUACUCUAAAUUAUUAUUAUAAUAUUCUAACUUUGGUUUCCUAUAAGCGAACCUUUACUCAAGCUUGGUUAUGCAAUAACUUUGGAUAUUAUGCACUAUUUCAGCAUGUCUCUUGAGUAAUUAAUUAUUUGUUUAUAUACAGAGUUACCCUUUAUUUAUGACAAACUUGCUUGUCUGUGAGGUUAUAGAUCAUAAAUUUUGUAGCUUGUUCAGUUGAAAAAAAUUUAGAAAAGUUGCUUGCUCUUGGGGUAGAUGCUUAUAGAUCAGAAAAGUUUCUAUUUUUGCUCUUUGAAGCAAUAAAUAAUUUGCUAUCAAUUAUUGAAGUGAAUAUUUGUGUAGACCUAUCUGAUUUGUAAGUUAUAGGUUGAUGUCGCAUAAGAUUCGAAUGAAUGAGUUCAAGCAAAUCAAAUUUUUAGAGUCAUCUUGUACUAAGGCGGAAAUCAAUUGGAGAAAAUAAAGAACAAUAGGUAAUCAAUUACUAUGAAGCUCUAAAUUGAGAGUCUGAGUCAUAUACCUUGGCCAAAUUAAAGUUGUCUCUUAUGUUUUUCAUAUGAUUUUCUAGUUUGUUAGACCAUCUUGUGUUUUCUUAAUAUGAUUUUCUAGUUAAUUUGUUAGGCUAUGUAAUUAUGACUUCGUAUGUUUUAGCCAAUGACUAUUAAUUUUGUAUUGCUGAAUUUAUAAUUUCCACAUAUUUCUUUCGACAAUACAAAACAAGGGAAUGUUAAUGUAUUGUGUUUAUGUUUAUUCAAUUGAAGUAUAGCACAAUGUUUGAUGUUGUUAAUUAGACCUAUUCAGUAAAGUUCCUGCCCAAAACUGUAAAUCUAGAAUAUGAUGGACAAACUGCUAGCUUAAGCCACAAACUAAAGCCACAAGUGGCUUAGUAAAUUAAAAGCAGCCAGCUGAUUGCUUCAUUAAGGUCACAUGCAAGCUUCACUUAUAUGCUUCUCCUGCGUGCUUGAAUCGGUGCACAUAUAUAUGUUGAAAAGUGAGAGCUGCUUGCUAAAAAUAAACUUUAUGAUUUUCGAUGCAAUGAAUCAUUGUUGAAUCUGGGCACCAUAAGUGCUAUAGUGCUUGUUAACUUAAUGUCUUUUGUCACCUAGUAUAGUAUUGUUCACUUUAAUUAAAUUUAGUUAAUGAAAUAGAUUAAAAAAUAAGUACUUGUGCUUGUCAAUUUGUAGGCAGGGUGGCAUUUUUAUCAUUACUAAUAUAUUUAUUAACUGUUUUCUUUAAUAUUUUUAUUUUCAUUAAAUUUAUCAUUAAUGAUUGGAGGGUCUACCACCCAGUUUUGUUUCACAAAUUGUACUAUCUUUUGAAGAUGAAUUGAAAGGUAUAUCAGUAUUAAGUUUAAGUUCUAAUUCUCCUUAUGGGAAUUUUUUAAUAUUUAUUUGACAGACUCUGUUCAAUUAUUUUGUUUAUGAUUGUCAAGGUGUAUGUGUUUUGUAGUUUACAUACCUAUGGUAGGCAUGAAAUUGUGGAGCCUUCUUUUAGUUUAAGCAUGGAAGCAAAUUUGUUGUGGCCCAACGGCAUUUAGAAUUGGCAAUGCCUGCAGAUUCAUGCAUGCCAGAGCAAGAACCAAUUAAAAUUUAAUUAUUUAGUUGAAUUUUUCAAAAUCAAUGUGCAAGCAUUUGAUUAUUUCAUUAUACAUUAUUUGCAUGCAAUAAUGCAGAGUAGAGCAUAUUUAUUGACAUACACACACACAUACUUAAUUACAUGGUACUAGCUAGUUAUAAAUCAAAACAAGAGAAUGAGUGUUAAGUAACAUUUGGACAGACUUCUUUGGGAUACCUAUUUGGAAGUGGAAGUGAGAGACGGCAACUAGUAGUACAUGUAUUACACCAUGAAAGAACUUUAUGAGUAUUUUUGCUUUCCAAAUAUCCAAGAAUUAUUUUUUGUGGUGUACUAAUUGAUUUUAUGUACUUGUAGGUGGGAAGUAAAUGAAGUCGUGGAUGGAUAUUGAAUGACCUUCUUGUGCUUCUUUCUGUUGGUUAAUGCUUGUUGAAACUUAAUUCAGUAUUUUAUUAUUUAGAACUUGCCCCAAACUUAAUUUGAUACUUAUGUUUUUCUUUUCUAAACAGUGUUUUAGUUGAAUUAUGUUAAUUCAAGUGAUGUAUUUGGGAUGUUUAUUAUGUUAAUUGUGUUACGAGAUUUGAUAUAUUUAAUAUAUUUUGAGUUUUCUUUUAAUUUUAAAACAAACAAGAAAAGUAUUAUUAAAAUAAAAAUAUACUAUUAACCAAAAGUAUCAUAAUAUCGCUAAAUACUGACAUUAAAUAUUUAAAAUGAACUCAAUAAUUUUUGACAUUAUUGAGUCAAUGUGUUUCUGAUACUACAGUCACAUAAAUUACUGUUAUGUAAAUAAUAUCAUUGAAUACUAAUACCAUGGUGUCAUUAUUUUGGUGAUACGAUAGUGACAUAAAUUACUGACACAAAAAUCACUGACACUAAAAAUUAGUGUCAGUGUGUUCUGGCUGGAGCAUUAUUGACACAAUUAACAAGUGUCAGGAAAAGUAAUUACUGACACUAAUUUAGUGUCAGUAAAGCCCAUUUUUCUAGUAGUGCUGAAAUCAAGGUGUUCUAGAAAAGAAAGACCAGAGAGCCACCCAAAAUUUACAACAUACAAGAAAUUCCGACUGAGGUCGAGGUAUCGUAGACUAGAGAGAUUUCCAAGUUGGUGGGGUAUCACUCCUCCAAACUGACUUCCCAAGAGAUUGAGAUACUUCUGAUUCCCCAUAGAACCAAUAAAUCUAGGGAUUUGGACUCCUUGAAAAUCAUUAAAGCUCAAGUCCAGAUAACUCAAAUGUUCUAAAUCAAGCAAAGAAGGAUUUACCUUACCAACCAGCAUUGACCUUGGAUUUGCUUCAAACUGAUCCGGCUGAACGUAAUAAUUGAAAGGAUUUCGAAGAUUAAGCUCAAGGAUAUGGCCCGUCACGUUGUCACAGAUAACACCAGCCCAUAAACAACAGUCUCCAUCUCCAAUCCAAGAAGCAAGCCGAUUGGAAGGGUCUUGGAGAUCUUGCUUGAACCUUAAAAGUACUUCUCUCUCACUUUCAAGGCAACCCACAUGAUAGGAAUUUCCAUUGCAGAGGCUCAUGCUAAUGGCUGCUAUGACAAGUAAUUGAAAAAGAAAUAAGGUAGAAACAAGGACACCCGUCAUGUUUGGUUUCAUUGCCAUAUGCAGUAGUAGUAAUAAAGAAAACAUGCAUGAGACUUAUGUUAGCAACGGCAUUCCUAUUUAUAAUGAAUUGAAGUUAACAAGUCCG
rnacentral:lncRNA from 1 species